rnacentral:tRNA from 1 species
GCCUCCGGUGGACGGUUUGGCCUGGCCCAGUCGACCUUCCAGGUCGGCGGUAACGCCGGCUCGGCGUUCGGCCCGCUGCUGGCGGCG